CCCUAAGCCAACCCGAUCUGCUGUUCGUCGGGGACAACCGGAUCGAGCUGAUGCAGCUGGCCGAAGAUCGUCGUUCCCUCGCCAAAGAUCAAGCCCGCCGUCCAAUCCCCAAGUCGCCGUCUCAUAAAGCAAAGACUGGAGAGAUCGGGUGAUUUUGAUGCGCCCCAGCUGAGAGGCGUUUGAGGGAAUCCCACAUCUUCUAUAACACAAUGAGUGGGUAAAUUGUAUUAUGGUGGUGGGCAUCAUUUUUUAUGGUGGAAUCGUGGUAAACGAUUCUACUCCAUUUACCCUAGUCACGCUCCAGCUACAACACAUACAUCUCAUUUCACUAGUUUGAGAAUAGGGAGGUUUAAAUGUUUCCUUCGUAUAUGAAUUGGUAAAUUUUGAAUACUGUAAGUAUAUAAUGAAUUUAUAGCCCAAUGGGCACUUCAAUAUCAAUUAAAGGCAAUGGAAUUACUUUGUAAUGUAUAUGAGAUGUUUAAAUGGU